UGAGAAGAAGUGCCAGGAUGAAGAAAGAUUACAGACUAAUCCCUACUGCUGAAAUGAACAAAUAAAAGAAUAUAGCUUAACUGAAGAUAUUCAAAGUUUCACAUCAAAAAGUUGUCAAAUGUUCAUCUGGAACCUUUCAAGAAAUGGAGAAAAACAAAGAGCAUGGGGGCCACUCUGCCACAACCUCACCAAAUGCUGUGGAUGACCUCAGGAAAAACUGGCAGGGCUGGAUCGAAAAUCAUAUUGAUUAUCAGAAAUCUAAUCCGUUCAGUCACGAUGCCCGGGCCAUUGUUGUCAAUAAAGGAGAUCCCACUUAUGGGAGACCUCCUAAAGGUUCUAAAACGGAACAAAGAGGAAAAGAUGCCCAUGUCCAUGUAGAGAAAGAGCUGGAAGAACUCUGCUGGAUCUUGAGAAAUAAUGGAGAAAAAGGAGCAGAUGGAAGCAGCAGAAUGACAUUCAAACAGCUCUUUGAAAGGUAUGCGACCAUUUCCAAUAAAGUUGUGGGACUUCUUCUAAGAGCCAGAAAGCAUGGAAUGGUUCAUUUUGAAGGAGAAAUGCUUUGGCAAGGACAAGAUGAUGAUGUAAUUAUAACAUUACUCAGAUAAAAUAAAUUGUGAAUAAUAACUCCUUGUUGGACAAAAAUAAGUGGUUCAGUGGAUAAAGUACUGGGUCUGGAACCAGAAAAAUUUGAUUUCAAACCUAGCCCCAGAUACAUACUAACUGCGUGACUCUGAGCAAGUCAUUUAACCGAGGUUUGCCUUAAUUCACUGGAGAAGGAAAUGUUGAACUACUCCAGUAUCUUUGCCAAGAAAAUUCAAUGGGCAGUGUUGGUGUGCGGUCCACAGAGUUACAGAGCUGUGACUGAAAGACUGAACAAUAACCACAAGCCCCUUAUUACUCUCAGGUUUCUAGAACUGCUCUAACAUUCAUAGCUAUUCAAUUUGUUUCUAUUUGAACUUCCUCCCUAAUCAGCUACUACAAAUCACAUGCUAUCACAUGGUGAAAAGGAACUUUACUUUUAAAUACAGGAUAAGGUCAGGAAAAUGCAUUUUUAAAAGAAAAAAAGUUUUUCUUAUCACCAAUGGUCCAAACUUAAGCAUCUUCCUUAGAAUAGAAGGUUUCAAGUCCAGCCAGUGCCUAGAUUCCUGCCUUUUUUGCUACUGCUGUCAGCUUAGAAUUCCCUUCAGGGAAAAUGGCUAAGUUAAUAAUUUGCCCCUUGGGUGAUUAUAAAAGAUGCUUCCCCUUCAUGUUACUUUAUUGCAACAUAUCACCAGAGGAAUACCAAAUCUUUAAGAAUCUGUAGCCACUAAGGCCUGAACUGGGAGUAUUUCUGUCUUCAGUGAGUACCAAGAGACCAUAUUGAACUAAAGUGCAGCAUCACAAGACAGAGGAAAGAAACCUUAGUGUCUACAGUCUGUAACAACCAUAUCUUUCAUAAAUUUCCUUCAACUCCUUUCCAAAUUCCCACCUUGAAGGAAUGAAUAUGCUGCAUGCUCCUGAGGGCGAAUGUGGUCUCAAAGCAGUAAGACAAUAAGGCAGACGCCCAGCUUGUCUCUCUUUAAUGUGACUAAGUAACUGUUUCUACAAUAUAUUCUCUUUUAAGAAGUUGGAAGGACCAGUAAUACACAUUUAAAAGAAAUAUAGAUACUUACCUGUCGAGUGAAACAUACCAAAAAAAAAAAAAAAAGUGAGGUUCCUAGGUCUGAACUGUUAUUUUUGUUUUGAGCUUUUUGCAAAUAUUUACCUCACAAUAGUUUGUUCUCUAGUAAAUUUAGAAAAUGUAAUGUUCAGGCUUGUCAAAUUUGGAGGUAUUAUAAUCAGAAAUCAUACAUUUCUCUUAAACAUUUUUGGACAUAUUUGAGGAAUUACCAUGGAAUUUCCAAGAUCUAAUUUGUAAUGAAAAUAUCAAAUUUUACUUAGCUAAUAUUGUGAUAAGAGGUAGUUUAGUUUAAUGCAAUAAUGUCAAACUCAAAUAGAAUUAGAUCCCUAAAACCUGCAUGACUUAGAAACCAUAAAUUAAAACUAUGUUUUAUUGUA